rnacentral:misc_RNA from 1 species
GGAAAUCUGACUACAAUACUCUACAAAGGUGUCACAUGAUUAGUAUAUAAUAUGCAUUUUUCAACCAUAGAAAAUCAAAGUAUAAUACUUGGAUAAAGCAAAAAAAGCAAUUAAAAGCUAAUGAGUUAGCGCAUAUAAGGAGUCACUUGAAAAGGGAAAAUGACAAGAAACAAAAUGCAUAAACUUCUAAUGGCAUUUACCAUAUCUUUUAUCACAUCCUUUGUUAAAAACAUUGCAGGAAGUAUCUGUUAAAUCUCAGCAAUUUAACAUACAGUUUUAUUCAUUCUUCCAAGCAUAAAAUAUAAGUGAGAAACCAAGACCU